GGAAGGGAAGGGAAGGGAAGGGAAGGGAAGGGAAGGGAAAGAGAGAGAGAAGAGAAGAGAAGAGAAGAGAAGAGAAGAGAAGAGAAGAGAAAGAAAAAACUCAUGCUGGAUAUGAAGAUUAAAUGAAAUCACCCAACUAGUCACUAAGAAAUAAUGACUGAGACUAUCCCAUGCCAAUCAGUUAUUGUAACAGUUUUAUGGCUGCCAUGUUUGCUGAAGUCUUAUCUUAAGGAAGACAUUGAGCUAAGUAGGUGGUGAACUAAUUACUUCAGUUGACGUAAAAACAGCCUAUUGCAUCCUUCCCGGCUUCCCUGUGAACAGCUAAGUCACCUAAGAGAUAAAGAGACACUCAAGACUGUGCAUCCCACAGCCAGAACGUCCGACAGAAGUGUCUAAGUCGUCCAGUACCCUGGACUCUAUCAGCACUUUUGUAAUACUUCCUCUUUAAAAGUGUCCCGUAGCCAUGAUUCGUGAGCAACUGCAGCGUCUUACUCAAGUCUGUUUCCUGUUUUUCAAACGUUAAAUCUGAUUGACUUGACCCUGUUAUUAUUUUCCAGUAAAUAUACUGAAAUUCUAACGGGAGGAGGAAGAAGAGGGGCUCAAAAUUUGAUCCACUAGAAAAUAGAAUGAUAAAUAUCAGGUUUGUGCCCUCCUUGGGUAUAGAUCCCUAGUGGUCUUUCUUUUAAAAUUUUAUUUUUAUUUUGCGAGCGUGACUGGUUUUCUGCAUGCAUUGUAGGUGUACCAAGCACACACUCCUGGUUCCAGAGGAAGCCAGAAGAGGAUAUCAGACCCUCCCAAACUGGAGUUCUAGAUAUUUGUGAGCCUCCACGUGAAUGCUAGGAAUAGAGUCUGAAAGGCUAGUUAAUGCAAGCAACCACUGGCCAUACCUCUAGCCCUCACUAUUUCUUCUAAAGACACUUGAAAAGCUCGUGUCUCCUAGACUCAGAUGGCUCACGGGUCUUUCAUUUGCCUUCUUAGCCUGACUUUACCUAGGAAAUUUCUUGCCCUUGCCGCGACACAUAGAGAAUCCAGUGUGUUUUGCUGCCCCCUUGUGGUCACUUUAAAUCGGACGGAAAUUUUCCAAUUGAAACACCUCCUAGUCAACACACUCUGUUCAACGUUAUCACUGAUGGAAAAUGUGUAUAUGCACGACCACACGAUCACACUGAGCACUGUAAUGCUCAAAUAAUUUCAUAAGACUAAACUCUUAACUGCAUUUGAAAGAGGCUUUCUGAUGGAAACUCCCAAACUAAAAUGACGCUUCAUUUCUCCAAAAUGUAGUAUCAUAUAUGCCAGUAACCUCAAAGAAUAACGAGUUUGUCACGUUGUCCACAUAAAUAUGGCCUUAUUUGGAAAACGGAGAAUUUUAAAUAUUUCGUUGUGUUCCCUGCUAUUUAAGAGGAUUCAGAUGGCAUAGACGUGCUGAAUAAACAGUUAAGAUAGUCUGCCUUUAGAAAGGAAGAGGCCGACUAUGAGAAUCUAGGCGUCAGUUUAAAAGAGCUCAUUUCUCAGCACUGAGGAAAUGUUAGCGUUUGCGACUGUAACUGAGAAAUUGAUCGGGGGAGGGGAAGAAGAGCCAAAAAAGAAUAAAACUACUACUAAUUAUGUGAAUUGAUCAAAAUACACAUGGAAAUUUCCACGAAAUUUCUAUUUUUUUUAACUAGGAAGUUUAAAAUAAAGUCAAUGAAUUUAAAUGGUUUCCCAGCCUCCGUUGUGCAAGCAAUUAAGGCUUAUUCACAUCCAAACCACUCCUAAACCGUACACAACAUUAAUACAAAAGUUUCCCAAAACUA
rnacentral:lncRNA from 1 species